rnacentral:tRNA from 1 species
GCAGGCGUAGUUCAGUGGUAGAACGCCAACGUUCCACGUUGGAUACGGGAGUUCGAUUCUUUCCGCCUGCUCCA